CACGUAGGGGGCAAGCGUUGUCCGGAUUUAUUGGGCGUAAAGAGCUCGUAGGCGGUUCGGUAAGUUGGGUGUGAAACCUCCAGGCUCAACCUGGAGACGCCACCCGAUACUGCUGUGACUAGAGUCCGGUAGGGGAGCGUGGAAUUCCUGGUGUAGCGGUGAAAUGCGCAGAUAUCAGGAGGAACACCUAUGGCGAAGGCAGCUCGCUGGGACGUUACUGACGCUGAGACGCGAAAGCGUGGGGAGCAAACAGG
rnacentral:rRNA from 1 species